CAGGGUUCACCUUGAACCUAGAAGUGUCCUGGAGCAGAGCUUUAGCUGUUGACUUUUAUACUCUCCAUUUGACUUCUGUUGUGCCUGAUGCUUAUUAAGUCUGAAACAUGCUGAAUUUCAAGAGUGCUCUUAGUUGAAGAGAUAAACAGUUGUACUGAGUAAGGGACAUUUAAUGUUUCCUGUGGGGUGCUGUUGUCUAAAAUGAAUAGGAGCUUGCUGUGUUUUAUUGUCAUGAUUAGAAAAGUAGGAAGACUAAUUAUGGCACAGAUAAUUAUGGCCAGUGUUUCUUGUGGAGGUGGUAGUUUUGGCAGCCCACAAGCUGCCGCCUUGCUUGUGGUGGUGCAUCUGUUUGUGAGGCUGCAUGAUAAAUAGAUCUGGGAGCUUUUGUGGGUUAAAUAUAACCAAGUCACCAUUUCUUCCUCUAGCUACUGCCACAGAAGACAUGAAGGAUUGUAUUUACUCAGAUCUGUUCCUGGUCUGGUUUACAGUAAUGUCUCAAAAGUUACAGUGGCAUGGGAACAGCUAGUGGCUGUUUGAGGAUGGGCUUGCUUUAUUCACUCGUGCUUCUAAAAUAAAUGCCCUUUGAGAUGGCAGUUGUGACUGUUGUGUGCAUUGUAGACAUCAGUCAGGAAAUGGAUUGAAACUACCACCUUCUUUCACGUGGUCCACCACACAUUAGUCAGUUACUAGUAAUUUUGCUGUUGCUCUUGACCUUCACCAGAAGUUUGAUCUAGUAAAUGUAUGAAUACUGUAACCAGUCACCUGUGGUUGUGGAGUCCUUUGGCAUUAAUUUAUUUAUCAUUGUCAGACUGACCACUGCUGCAUCACAGGGAGCUCUGUAUGCUGCACGCAUCUUGGAGACAUGGUAAUGAUCGCAGAAAUGUAGAUCUUAAAUCAACAAGGAUUUACUUGGGCAUUCCUGUACUGUGCUCUGCCACAAAGCUUUCCGUUGCCCACACUGUUCAUGACAAAUUGUAUCAAGAGUAAUCUUUUCAUAUGUGCUGCUUCCACAGGCAUGUCAGUUUUCUCUCUUUGUUUUCUGUUGCUACAGAAUAUUUGUUCUUGUUUGUAGUGUGUUGGUUUUGGGUUUUGUUUUGUUUGUUUGUUUUUUCACAUGAGGAAAGAAUAGAUCAGUACAUGUGAUAGUUUCAAUUAAAGUCAUUUGGAUGAAGCAUAAGUAAAUGAAGUCCCAACAAAAUAUGCGCAGUUUUUUGAGAUGGAGGUUGUCAUCUCUCUGUGCUCAGUACCAAAGCUGACAUAACUUUAAGGCAUCUCCACUUCAUACGAAUAGGUGAUCUGUGUCCCUGUGAUACUCGUAUACCAGAUGGUUUUAUUUCAAGUCUUAGCGUUUGUGGGAUUUCUUCUCUGAACAAAAAGAGUGAUCUUAGAGCACUGUAUGUUAUUUUUUGAAUGUUGCAAUAAUGUUUCCUGGUUGCUGAGAAAAUAAUCAGUGAUGCCUAUGAAACAUUUGCUCUUCUUUAACUUUCUUAAAAUACUAGCUUUAAAGGUUAUGGUUUUUCCCCUCUCAUUCUACAUAAUUAACCAGAGCACCUGCAGAGGACAGUUAUUAUUUUUUUUUCUUUGUAUUCUGAUGCCAUUAAUGAUAUCAUCUUAAUCUGGUACAUGCUAUCUCCAGAGCAGUGGUUUUCCUCCCCUUUUUCCUGAAUUGCUGACUGAACUAAGCAUCUUCUUGUCCAGUCUUUUAGCUUGUGUAGCCAACUGUAUCUUUGGAAAUAAAAGAACCUCACAGGCCAGCUCAUUUUAUAAAGAAUUUUAGAUUUAUUUUUUUUCUUGCAAAUUUUACAUUUUUAAUCAGAGUAGAAAUAAGGUUUCAGAUACUCAGUAUUCAAGAAGCUGAACUAAAAGGGAAGAGCACAGCAAAAAAACCAAAAACAAACUACUGCUCUUUCAGAACAAUCUUUCAUACUCCUUCAGUAAACAGUGAAAUGCAUUAAUAGAAUACAGGCAACAAAAAGAUGCUGCAACUGGAACAGAACCAGUAAGUGUGAGGAAUAGAAGUUGUAGGAAAAUAAGGAUGCUAUAGAGAAGCUGUGUAACUUACUUGCACCAAUUUUAUAUCUGCUGAAUGCUGUGAUAUGCUUGUUUUACAAGGUGCUAAGAAUGGGAGAUUUGCAGCCGGGGAAAUCACAAGAGGGAAGUGCUGGGUUAGGUUUAUGAA